CUACCUACAUGAAGCCUUCUUGCUUUCCUCCCUUUGGAAGAAAUAAAUUCUUCCUGGAAAUGUGUUGAGAUGCUUAGAGUCUCGAUUAGAAGCAAGGAUUUGGACCCACAGGGUAUUUUGAUGCAAGUCUUCAGCAAUUGAUUGUUUCCCCAGUCAAGCUGCUGGUAAAUAUAUUGGACAGUGAAGGGAUUGGAACACAGCCAUGGAACACAUUGUAAGAGGGUCUCACCAGGCUGCAAUCCAGCUGUUGACUGGGACUAUGGCCUCACCUGAUGUUCAGAGUCCUCUUCUAAGCUCGGCUGGUUGUUGGAAGAAUUCAGUUCCUCAUGGAUGCUGGACUGAGGUCCCUCGGCUCCUGGAGUCCACCUAGCUCCUGGCCAGAAGGUCCCCUCCACAGUCCCUCUCACAAGAUACAGCUUCCUUUUUUGAGCCAGCAAGGAAUAGAAGACUUUGGUGGUAUGAGGGCCCAGUA